AGAAAAAUAAAAUUAUGUCCUUUUAUCAAAUUUUCAAUUUAAAAUUAAACCAAAUAACACUCAUCAAGUAUGAACCAUAUAAUUGUUUAAGGUUUUGAACGAUAUGUCGUUUAGAGGGAAGCGACCAUCUAUUUCUGAUUUGUUCAUUCUCAUCUGAAGUGCAUCGUCGUUCAACCAACAGUAAAGCAUCUUUUACUGAUUUAUUCAUUCUCAUCUGAAGUCGGCAAUUCCUACGGGGUAAUGGUGUUUCUGUUCAGGUAUGGCGUCAAGCAGGCCGUUGGCGUUAGAUCACUUCUAAGUCGGCUCUGAAAGGAGGAUCGGUGGAUAUAGGGUUACUUACUCUCAUUUUCAAUCUUCAGCAGCAUACUUCCUUCUCUAGAGAAGCAAGAACUCACUUCUCGCGUUUUAAGUGUCAGGAUAUCAAUCCCCUUCAUCGAUUCUUCUAAGGUUUUCAUCAUAUAUGUGUUAGUCCAAGCUUGUAUUGGUCAGGACUCAAGAGACCUUUUACUGAUCAGUGUGUUGUUAUGUGAAGGCGGUUUACACUAAUUUUGGGAGGAAUGGUGUUCAGUACCUCAAUGAAAUAGCUGUUAUACUUCCUAUUCAAAUUGAAAAUUUGAUCUAUGCUUACCUAGCUGAAGAGCCUUUCAAAUUUUGUUUCAGGUAUUCAAGUUUGCUUGCUUUACUUAGGUGUUCUCUCAUUUACAAAACUUAUCAAGACGAUAGUCUCUAGAACUUCAUAACUUGCAGGUCAGUGCAGCGGCAAAUUUUGGGAUGACUUGCAACUAGAUACAUUGUACCAUGUGGAAUUAUAACAGCAGUGGAGGAAGAACUUGGGGUUCAAAUCCCAGAUGACAAACCAACCCCAGAACUUGUUGACUACAUUGCAAAUGCAAAAUGAGAUUCAUGCUGUUGUCAGGUGAAAUCCUUUUCACAAAUUUGUUGUCUUCUCUUGCUAAUUGUUGAUGCAACUUUCAUUGGUAGUUUGUAAAAAUAUUCACAUGGCUAAGUGUAGACAUAUUUGCCACAUUCUGUGCUUUCCAAAAUUUGCACUGUUUCUGUGCUUGUAGCUUUAAUUAAAACUUACAAAAUGAAUAAAUAAAAUGUGGUCCUUGGCUGCAUAAA